GGGAAUUGGAGUCAGUUGGCUGCUGUGAGGACAAGGAACAGUCGGUGCCUGGAGGACCUGCCUACGAGAAACCUCGAGGAGAAGAGAACCAAACUGUCUGCAGUAACAAGAAUGUGAAGAGUUAUCAGAAGAAUUUGCCAAGUGCUACCAAGCUCUGAGUUAAGUGGGUUUACCUGGAAGUCUGCAGCCUCAUCUAUCACCUAUUGCCUUUUCCAUGGAUGGUUGUGUUGUCCCAAGGCAGAGUUCUCUGGCAGCAAAGGGAAGGUUUCCUAACAAAACUAAUCAAAGGGAGUGGCUAUUCCACUUUAUUUGGGGACACUGGGGUCCUGGGUCCAGCUUUGGACACACAGUUCAGCUCCUUGCCAUCAAAUGCAUAGCACAACCUGCCCUUUGAGACAUCAGAUGAGUUUGAAAGUCAGAAUAAUUCUCUUCUGCUAAAGCUAUCACUAAUUUUCCUGUCACAGCAAGCAAGCAGACAUUUUAGGGAGGAAGAAAUUACAAGUCUAGGCAGCAGACUGACAAUAUACUGUGGUAUCUCUUUGUUUGUGUAUAAAGCCUGGCUGGUACUUCAUAAUAAACUCAACUGUUAUUCUGAUAGUUUACUGUCAUUUCACUGGUUUUACUUUUGAGCCUACAAGCAUCAUCUUUGCAGCAACUGGGAUUUAGGGGAUGAAAUAGCAUUGUUAUUCUGCUCAUGUUUCAGCCACUUGGGUUUUCUAUUUGUUCACGUCUGUAUUUUUAUAGAAAAUUGAUAAGUGCUGUAAUUAUAGUCUGUUGAAAGCAAGUAGGUCAGAGCUACACUUUCCAUUCCAGAGGGGCUGCUGGCACUGGAGAGACAGAAAUACAGCUGGAUGUUUUCACUUGUCUGGGUAUUGCUGCCAUUCAUUAGACUUCUCAAACUGCUCACUGAAAUACUUUCAGAGGUACUAAACAAAAUCAACCAAAGCAUCUGUGUUUAAAAGGUUCUGUACUCAUGUAUUGCGAUUCUCUGGCAGAAGAUUUUUUUGGGACAUCAUGCAAGAAUUAUGCUAACUGUUGAGGGAAAAUUUCUUAGAGUGUACUGGUGACAAUUUCUUCAUGUAAAUGACUGAGAAUCUGGUGAGAGGAGGGAUCUUGCUGGAUCUCCUAUUCGCAAAGGAAGAAUGGUUAAGGGAUGUGAAGGUUAAGGGUUCCUGUAUCUGCAGGACCAUGAGAUGACAGUGCUCAGAAUUCCAAAGGGAUUAAGGCAAUAAAGCAGGAUUGCAUCCUGGGCCUCAGGGAAGAAGGCUUCAGCCUGUUUGGGGACCAAGAAGAACACAGAUAUACUGCCCAGUUCUGCAGGGAUAGGGUUAGGAAAGCCAAGGCCUGAUAGGGGAUACAAAAGGCAUGAAGAAAGACUUUGAGUGCAGCAGCAGAAAACAGCAGGUUGGGGAAAACGUGAGCCCACUGGUGAAGAGGAUCUGGUGACAAAGGGCACAGGAAUGUCUGAGGUACUGAAUCCCAUUUUUAUCUCAGUCUUUAGUAGUAAGCCUGGCCAGAUGUCUGGAGCAAGGGAGAUCUCCUCUUUGGUGGAGAAGAAUUGGGUUAGGGAACAACACUUAAGCAAACUGGAUGUACUGAACAAACUGCCCAUGGGAUGUGUUGGGCCAUACCCAGGAGUGCUGUGAGAAGUGGCUGAUAUCAUUGCAAGACAGCUUUUAAUUACUUUUGGAAGGUCAUGGGAAACAGAGGAAGAUCCUGAGGACUGGAAGAAGGUAAAUGUCACUUCAAUCUUCAAGAAUGAGGAUCUAGGCAACCCUUAACAUUCUUUACUCCUGUUUGCAUAUAAAUCAGUGAUGUGGCUUGUCAGUGGCAGUUACUAUAGUAUCUGUCUGUUCUCUUAUUUAUUAAUGUGUACAACUUCAUUUGUGGGUUAGGUGAGUGAUCUCUGCUGUCCUUAUCUCAACUCAUGUGCUUGUCUUAUAUUUUCUCUCCCAUGCCCAGCUGAGGAAGGGAGUGAUAGAGAGGCUUUGGUGGGCACCAGGUAUCCAGUCAGGGUCAACCCACCUCAGUCAGAAAAACACUGAAAAUGUCUGGUUAUCUGACUGCAUAAAGAAAGUGACUAACAAGAGCAUGAACAGUUAAUCUGUAAAUAGAGAUUCAGAGAUGACAUGAGAGAGGACAGAUAGCAAAGCACAGAUGUUCAAGUGAUGUGUGAGGAUUUUUCAUUUUCUUCUCCUCUCCAAUAUACUCAAGACUAGCACAGCUAGUAGUUCUGUGCAGCUCUCCUGGAUUCUCACUUUUAAUAAGCAGGUUUCAAUUUAAAUGAUACCUUUGUGUUGUCUGCACAGGUUGCUGCAGUGCUGAGAGGCUUGGGAAAAUGAGCUGAGCCAGCCCACUCCUGGUGUCUGAGGUGUUUAGAAAAGCAGCUGAUGAAAACACCACCUACACCUUCUGAAGGUGGCUGCUGCAUUCACACACAGCUGUUCUUUCUUAUGUAUAAAUUUAAGUUGUAAGGACUGAAAUUUUUGCUGGCACAUCAUGAAAGUGGCACUAAAGACAGAUGAUACAUUCCCAAAGCUAUGUGAACCAAGCAUGAUUUCACCUUUUCCAGCCUCAAGAACACUGUUUGAGAAACACAACAGCUGAUGACUACUGAGAGCUUUUUUGCUUCUAAGGAGCCAGCAUCUUCUCUGCUCACCUUGAUAGCUUUGCUCCACUUGUUCAAGACUAAUACUUAGCAUCUGAAAAGCUCUAUAGAAGAAAGUCUACAUCACCUUUGAGAG